GACGAGCGCUGGCGGCGUGCUUAACACAUGCAAGUCGAGCGGUAAGGCCCUUUCGGGGGUACACGAGCGGCGAACGGGUGAGUAACACGUGGGUGACCUGCCCUCAGCUCUGGGAUAAGCCUGGGAAACUGGGUCUAAUACUGGAUAUGACUCCACGGUGCAUGUCGUGGGGUGGAAAGCCUUGUGCGGCUGAGGAUGGGCCCGCGGCCUAUCAGCUUGUUGGUGGGGUGAUGGCCUACCAAGGCGACGACGGGUAGCCGGCCUGAGAGGGCGACCGGCCACACUGGGACUGAGAUACGGCCCAGACUCCUACGGGAGGCAGCAGUGGGGAAUCUUGCGCAAUGGGCGAAAAGCCUGACGCAGCGACGCCGCGUGAGGGAUGACGGCCUGGU
rnacentral:rRNA from 1 species